CAAAAAAUGAGUUACUAAAGAUAUGAUGUAACUCAUAGGGUGGAAGCGCCGAGGUUAUUUGAUAACUCUACAAAAUAGAGUUAUUUUACCACAUUUUAUAAGCCAAUUAUUGCUUAGUUCUUGAGUUUUUAAUUAAUUUAUCAAUUUUUUAAGUAAUUUUGAAUUUAUUAGUUUUAUUUUGAUUUUAUGUAUUUUUAUUUAUUUUUUGUAUUUAUUUUGUUUAAUUAUGUUGUUACUAAUUUAUGUGUGUUUAAUUUCUUUAUGUAGGUGUAUUUGUUGGGGCAAAUGAAAUGUUGAUAAAAUGUUGGUAUAAUGAAAUGAAGAAAUCAAGCCCAAAAUGAAAGGCCCAAUCCAAUUCUUGACAAUGCCAUGUCAUCAAUCCAUGUGCUUCUUUCUCCACCAUUGGAUUUGUAACUAUAGGAAAAUAUGACAAUUUUGAACAUGAAUCCAUGUGCUUUUUUUUUAGACCAAUAGGAGUGUUAUCCUUUACCAAAGAAUUUAUCUAUAAAUAGGAGUCUCAUUUCACCAUUUCAAGCACACCUUCUCUUACACCACUUCUUCCAUCUCUCUAUUCUCUCCAUCUUUUUCUUUUCUUAGAUUAGUUUUUAUGUAUUUUUAGAGGAAUAAUUUGGAGGUUCCUCCUCCAAAUUUUCCUAUUUAUGUUGUAAUUUUUAUUUUGUUUUUGAUAGUUAUGGGUUUCUAAUCCACUUAAAAUUAUUAAGGUGGAGGAUGAACCAAGAUAUAACUAUAUAGUGUUUAUUUUAUGUUGACCUCCCAAAAUGAGCAAUAAAGUUUAUGAUUUUUCUUCUUCUAAAUAUUUCUUUCAUCUAUAAUAUCAUGUAUUUUAGAUUGUUAGAACAUAUUUUACUUGGUUCUUAAUUAUGCAAAAAUAUAGUAUUCUUUGAUUAAGAUGUGUCAUUAAAUUGUUCACAUCCAAUGCUUAGAACAAAAAUACUAUAUUUUGCUUUAGAAAUAACAUUAUUUGAUUUUUUUUGUAGUUUCAUUAAAUUGAUUCACAACUAAUGCUUUGAAGUUAUACUAUUGAAGUGAAGGAAAAUCUAUAUUUUUGAAUUAAAGAGAGCUUAAAGGAAGUAUAAUGUUUUGGAAAAGGUAAUUAGAUUGAUUUCAAUUAUCACUAAAAUUUGGGAAGUCAACAUAUUAAUAAAUAUUAUUAUUUAUAUUUUGUGGAUUCUAAAAUCUUAAUAAUUUUAUAAAUAACUAUUAAAAACAAAUCUUUUUAGUUUAUUUAUUUUAACUUUUUUUUAAGUAUUUUCUUUCUUUAUUUUUAAACAAAACACAUCAAUCUUUGGAACUAGGUUAGAAAUUUAUUUCACUUUGGUAAAAAUAGUUUUCUCUUUUGAUUUAAGUCAACUCCUUUGGGUUCGACCUCGUGCUUACACGAACACUAUUCUAUAAAUACGAUUCGUGCGCUUGCGAGUAUAAAUAUUUAAAACAUACCCGUUUUGGGUCCAUCAUUAUUCAAGGACCUGAGUUCCUAUUUACCUCAUAAAUGAGUUCUUACUGGUUUAUGUUUUUUGAUGGUUACCUCAAGAUGUGAAAUAGACAAUAGGGGUGCCAUGAUCACGAGAUAUAUGAUUGUGAAUAUGAAUAUGAAUUUAAUAUGAGUAUGAUAUGGUUACGAUAUAAAUUGCCAUGAGUUUACGAUACGUAGACAAUAGGGUUUCUCCUUGGCACACACAGUGAUGUGGGAAGUUCCAAUGUCUAGGCAUGUAUGACGCGAGGUGUCCUAGGAACGAUUAAUGAUCAAGAUGAGCAUCAAGAAUAAUUAAGAACUUAUGUUAUAAUUUAUCUUUUAAUUAUGUCAGUGGGACUUAUCACUUUUAUUUUAUUUCCAAAGACUGCACAAUGACACAACAUUUUUAUUUCAAA